rnacentral:rRNA from 1 species
CUACGGGAGGCUGCAGUGGGGAAUAUUGGACAAUGGGGGAAACCCUGAUCCAGCAAUGCCGCGUGUGUGAAGAAGGCCUGCGGGUUGUAAAGCACUUUCGGUUGGGAGGACUGCUUCUAGCACUAAUAUUGUUGGAAGUUGACGUUACCUUCAGAAGAAGCACCGGCUAACUCCGUGCCAGCAGCCGCGGUAAUAUGGAGGGUGCAAGCGUUAAUCGGAAUUACUGGGCGUAAAGCGCGCGUAGGCGGCUAGAUCAGUCGGGUGUGAAAGCCCCGGGCUUAACCUGGGAACUGCAUCCGAUACUGUAUAGCUUGAGUACAGGAGAGGAGAGUGGAAUUCCACAUGUAGCGGUGAAAUGCGUAGAUAUGUGGAGGAACACCAAUGGCGAAGGCAGCUCUCUGGCCUGAUACUGACGCUGAGGUGCGAAAGCGUGGGGAGCAAACAGGAUUAGAUACCCCUGUAGUC